UUACGGUCAUAUCACGUUGAAGCACCAGUUCACGUACGAUCACCGAAGUUAAGCAAGAUGUACUUAGAUGAGUGACUACUUGGGAAUAACAGCUGCUGCAAG